UUCGCAAUGCCCGAAAGGGUGACGAUGCGACGCCGCGUGAGCGAAGAAGGCCCUAGGGUUGUAAAGCUCUGUCGAGGGUUAUGAAAUAUAGAUGGGUUAAUACCCCAUUUAUUUGACAAAAGCCCAAAAGGAAGCCACGGCUAACUCUGUGCCAGCAGCCGCGGUAAUACAGAGGUGGCGAGCGUUGUUCGGUAUUAUUGGGCGUAAAGAGCACGUAGGUGGUUUUGUAAGUCAGGUGUGAAAGCCUUCUGUUCAAAGGAAGAACGGCAUCUGAAACUGCAUAUCUUGAGUGUAGGAGGGGAGAGUGGAACUUCUGGUGGAGCGGUGAAAUGCGUAGAUAUCAGAAGGAACGCCGGCGGCGAAAGCGACUCUCUGGCCUAUUACUGACACUGAGGUGCGAAAGUUAGGGGAGCAAACGGGAUUAGAUACCCCGGUAGUCCUAACCGUAAACGAUGGGCACUAAGUAGAGGGGUUUU
rnacentral:rRNA from 1 species